CUGGAACGCGCCCCAGGCGCACCCAGAAACCCUUUGUGAACUUAUACCUUACUGUUGCCUCGGCGCAUGCCGGCCCCCCCGGGGGCCCCUCGGAGACGAGGAGCAGGCACGCCGGCGGCCAAGUUAACUCUUGUUUUUACACUGAAACUCUGAGAAAAAAACACAAAUGAAUCAAAACUUUCAACAACGGAUCUCUUGGUUCUGGCAUCGAUGAAGAACGCAGCGAAAUGCGAUAAGUAAUGUGAAUUGCAGAAUUCAGUGAAUCAUCGAAUCUUUGAACGCACAUUGCGCCCUCUGGUAUUCCGGAGGGCAUGCCUGUUCGAGCGUCAUUUCAACCCUCAAGCAUUGCUUGGUGUUGGGGCACUGCUUUUACCCAAAAGCAGGCCCUGAAAUCUAGUGGCGAGCUCGCCAGGACCCCGAGCGCAGUAGUUAAACCCUCGCUCUGGAAGGCCCUGGCGGUGCCCUGCCGUUAAACCCCCAACUUCUGAAAAU
rnacentral:rRNA from 2 species